rfam:Colwellia sp. Phe_37 scaffold_1634, whole genome shotgun sequence.
UUUUAAUCUCAGGGCGGGGUGAAACUCCCCACCGGCGGUAACUUAAUAUUAAGUCAGUCCCGAUUUAUUUUAAGGUAGCCCGCGAGCGCUCUUAUUGUUAUUUAUUGCAAAAAGAGGUCAGCAGAUCUGGUGUAACUCCAGAGCCGACGGUUAUAGUCCGGAUGAGAGAGCUUAAAA